GCCCCCAUAGCCCAAUUGGCAGAGGCAAUCGGCUUAAAACCGAUCCAGGUGUCGGUUCGAGUCCGACUGGGGGCA
rnacentral:tRNA from 1 species